GAUCAAGAAAGUCCUAAAAGAGAUCCCGCCCACGAUUUGGGACAGGGUAAUUACUCUUCCAUCUGAACCAUUAUCUCCCUGAAAUAACCUCACUUCCUCAUCAGCUCUGGGACCAUAAUCUUUGAUAAUUCUUUGUAAACAACUACCCUCACUCUAUAAUUUAGAUGCUCCUUUAGUGCCCUAUCACCUUGCCUUUUCGUGGCUUAUUUUGGCUGUAACAAAUUACCACAAAUUUAACAGAUUGAACCAACAUAAAGCUACUGGAUUUGUG